rnacentral:lncRNA from 10 species
UUAAAGAGCAGGGCAAAUGAGCCAAAGUCCUGCUUGCUGAUUAGUGCAUAUCACAGGAAGAGUCAUUCCAGCCUCCUGGAGGGACCAGAUGUUGAAGUCCACAGACCCAGGUCUAUCACAGCCUGAUGUUCCCUGUGUCCAUAUGCUGUCUCGGCCAAGCUGUGAUGUACAAGUCAUACAAGUGCCAUGAUGUACAAUGAUGAGCAGGACAGACAUGGUCCCUGACCUCAGGGAGCUCCCUGUGAAAGGACAACAGGAGAAACAAACUUGAUUUGGGACUUGAAAAAAAUUAAUUUAGCCAUUGAGCUCAAAAUAAGUAACACAAGAGUUCCUCCCUGGAUGUAUUAUUUUAAAACCUAAAUUCGGACUUGAGUAGUUCAUCCAGUAAAAUUUGGCAUAUCUUCAUCCUUCAAUAACCAUCUUUCAAAGAAAGAGUUCUAAAAUGGCUUUGUCCCAUUAAGACUGAUCCAGGGCUAGGUAUAAUCUUGAGAAUACUGAGAUCAAACUCUGUAAUAAGCUAAGAUCACAAGAGAUGCCAGUAUUUUACAAUCCCCACCUAUUCUUUUUUGUUUAUAAAUAUGACUUAAUUUUUUAUAUUUCUCUAAUAUAAUUUUAUGAUAUCAUCCAAUGAACUUAAUGCUUACCUCAACUGGAUCAACUGAAAAUAGCUAUCUUUUAAAUAAUCACAUUUGUCGAAACAAUUGAAGAACAUUACCAUAAGUAAGUUCACAAUUGUACAUAUUGAAUCAUGACACCAAUAAACCUUAAAAU